rnacentral:rRNA from 1 species
GUGUCAGCAGCCGCGGUAAUACAGAGGGUGCAAACGUUGCUCGGAAUUACUGGGCGUAAAGCGCGUGUAGGCGGUUUCGCGAGUCCGAUGUGAAAGCCCGGGGCUCAACCCCGGAAGUGCAUUGGAUACUACGAAGCUUGAGUGCUGGAGAGGAAAGCGGAAUUCCCGGUGUAGAGGUGAAAUUCGUAGAUAUCGGGAGGAACACCAGUGGCGAAGGCGGCUUUCUGGACAGACACUGACGCUGAUACGCGAAAGCGUGGGGAUCAAACAGGAUUAGAAACCCCCGUAGUCC